AGUGCCUCCACCUCCUCGCGCAUGGCCCUCAGCGGGCGCAACUCCCGUAACUCCAUCUCCACCUCCAGAAGCUUUUCUGAUGCACUGUUCCUGGCCACCAUGAGGCGCAGGUGUUCUGAGGCAGAGCUUGACUCGUGUUCUCUCAUGUCCUGGUUGAGACCCUGAGAAGCAGGAGCAGCCAAAGCGAAAGAAAGAACAUGUGACUUGAGCCUUUGGGCAGUCAUGCUGGUGACUGGACAGCUACAGAACACAUGAAGAACAUCUUAAAUGAAGUUUACAUGCCCACAUGACUAGAGAAUCACUUUUCUAAACUCUGGAGUAAAUGCUCUAGUAGGAAUCACACCUAGAGAUUAUUAUAUAUACAUAGGUCCUUACACACACACACACACACAGACAGACAGAGAGAGAGAGAAAGAACGACAUUAAA